GGGGAUAUGGCGGAAUUGGUAGACGCUACGGACUUGAAAAUCCGUUGGCUUUAUUGACCGUGAGGGUUCAAGUCCCUCUAUCCCCA
rnacentral:tRNA from 3 species